rnacentral:lncRNA from 1 species
CAAUUUCACCAAAACCAUGCUGUUCUCAACAUCAAGUGGUUAUGGGAGUAAUUCGAUAAUAUCGCCUUUUCUGCCUCACAAGCAACUAACUGCCAUUCUUUCUUCCAGAUCAAGCUCCGUUUUCUCUGGGAAGCCUUCUGAGGUCAUCUGAAAUUCUUCAUUGGAGCUCCCAUAGCAGCUGUGUUUCCCAG